rnacentral:piRNA from 1 species
UAAAAGGAACUCAAUAGGUUGUAUGUAUGG